GCUUCCGUCGGUAGAGGACAUCGGAUUAUCGUGGAGCACGAUGACUGGGACGAGCAGUUUGAGGAGGAAGAGCCCUUCCAACCGUCAAAGAAUUUGACAGAACAAUCCGGUCUUGUCAUUGAGCCGUAUGCCGACCUGCCACAGGCCUGCUACGACUUGGAAGAACCUGCUAUAUCAUCGGAUUUCAACCUAUCCGACAUCGCUGCCGAACUCGAGACGCACCCUGUCCUUGGACGUGAUGCCGACUGACCUGCGAAGUGGUCGUUCGCGUCUCCCGCCCGCAUUUAACGCUCCGUUGCCGAAAUCAGUGCCACCGAGUACCCAUUAAACAAACGCUGGACCUACAGCAUUGCGGAGGACCUUUAGUUGACGGUUUUUUAAUGGCCAGUGUACAUAUUUCAGUUCAUUCUUUAUUCAUUUGUGUGACUUGAAAUUUGGUUUAGUCACAAUUCAGUAUCUUCUUUGGUAAACGUUGUGUCGGGCGGUAAGAUACGUUCAGUCUUCUUCAUUUGUUCACAGCGUAGUCUUACUGUCGAAGUUUUGCUAAGCUGUUGGAGUUCUAUUGUCUGUUUUCCAAAAUAAACCGUGGAAACGUGGCCUAUCGAUCUGUUAACUCUAAAAAUUUUAAACAAGAGGUGUCAGAAAAUUUACCACAGGGAUAACUGGCUUUUGGCGGCCAAGCGUUCGUAGCGACGUCGCUUUUUGAUCCUUCGAUGUCGGCUCUUUCUAUCAUUGCGAUGCAACUGUCGCUCGCUAAUAGGGAACGUGAGCUGGGUUUAGACCGUCGUGAAACAAAUUAGUUUUAUCCUAUUGAUGACUGGUUGUUGCAAUGGUAAUCCUGCUAAGUACGAGAGGAACCGCAGGUUCGGACAUUUGGCACACGUGCUUGGUCGAGCGGCCAAUGGUGCGAAGCUACCAUCCGUGGGACUAUGACUGAACACCUCUAUAUCAGCAUCCCGUCCAGUUCUGCAACGAUACCUUGGCGCCUCCUUGUUGUUCGGCAAAAACACGCUUAGCUUCACCGCAGAGCCGUGCUAUGCCACACUGAUGGAGCCUUGCGCCGAACUAGCGAUGUAACUACGCUAGCUCGGCCGGCUUCUGGUCACACACCAGAUAAACGUGAAGGGAGAAAUCGUCGGUAGACGACCUAAGUACCGGUCGGGGUAUCUGUUGAGACUCAUCCUUUGACCGGAAGAUUUGUCCGCAUUAGACGGACACGUCUUCCGGUUUUAAAGCUUUUUCUAUUACCCUUAUUACUGUUCAUUUUUCAAAUAAUACCUUUUAAUCUCUUAUUACUGUUCAUAUUUCCAAAUAAUACCCUUUUAUUCUCUUAUUACUGUUCAUAUUUCAAAUAAUACCCUUUUAUUCACUUUGCUUUAAAAACCCAAUAAAAACCCAAUUAAAUAUUUGGGCUCUUCUUUGAGUUUCAGCAUCUCUAUUAGGAGAGAAAUGUCUGAGCAGCAAUCACCAAAAUGUGAAGCAAUUGCUUCAAGGUUCAUCGGACUGGGGGAUACCGAUGUGGGUAUUGCAAGAUUCGUCUUGUGCCCAGUGCUGCCGAAAUAACUGUCAUCGAGACGGUGGGAGUAAUUAUGACUCUCUUAAGGUAGCCAAGGUAGCUAAAUGUGGGGGACUGUGCUCUGGUCGGUGCCGCGAGAUGCUGCACCGGGUGCGGACCAGUGCCCGGGCCUGACAGUGAACGGUAAGGGCUGUGUCCUACCGAGGCGUGUUCUCGGAUGCGGCUUCGUUCGGCGCAUUACAGCCGACUCAGAACUGGCAUGGACCAGGGGAUUCCGACUGUCUUAUUGAAACAAAGCAGUGUCACGGCUGGUGAUCGGUGUUGACACAAUGUGAUUUCUGCCCAGUGCUCUGAAUGUCAAAGUGAAGAAAUUCAACCAAGCGCGGGUAAACGGCGGGAGUAACUAUGACUCUCUUAAGGUAGCCAAAUGACUCGUCAUCUAAUUAGUGACGCGCAUGAAUGGAUCGACGAGACUCCCACUGUCCCUAUCUACUGUCUAGCGAAACCACAGCCAAGGGAACGGGCUUGGCAGAAUUAGCGGGGAAAGAAGACCCUGUUGAGCUUGACUUUAUUCUGACACGGUGAGGAGACAUGAGAGGUGUAGCAUAAGUGGGAGCCAGCAAUGGCGCCAGUGAAAUACCACUACUUUCAUCGUUUCUUUACUAAUUCAGUAAUGGUUGCUUCGGCAGCUUCACUUCUCGCCCUAAACCUUUCAUUCGGCAUUGGCGAUCCGUUCUGAUAACAGUGUCAGGCGGGGAAUUUGACUGGGGCGGUACAUCUGUCAAACGGUAACGCAGGUGUCCUAAGGCAAGCUCAGUAAGGACAGAAACCUCGCGUAGAGCAAAAGGGCAGACGUUUGCUUGAUUACGAUUUUCAGUACGAAUACAGACCGUGAAAGCGAGGCUAAUCGAUCCUUUUGACUCUAAAAAUUUUAAACCAGAAGAGGUGUCAGAAAAGUUACCACAGGGAUAACUGGAGUGUGGCGGCCAAGCGUUCAUAGCGACGUCGCUUUUUGAUCCUUCGAUGUCGGCUCCUCCUAUCAUUGCGAUGCAGCUAUCGACCGCUAACAGGGAACAGGAGCUGGGUUUAGACCGUCGUGAAACAAAUUAGUUUUAUCCUACUGAUGACUNNNNNNNNNNNNNNNNNNNNNNNNCCGCAGGUUCGGACAUUAGGCACACGUGCUUGGUCAUACACGCUAGCUCGGCCGGCUUCUGGUCACACAACAGAUAAACGUGAAGGCGAGAACGAUCUAAGUACCGGUCGGGGUAUCUGUUGAGACUCAUCCUUUGACCGGAAGAUUUGUCCGCAUUAGACGGACACGUUAUCCGGUUUUAAAGCUUUUUCUAUUUCCCUUAUUACUGUUCACAUUUCAAAUAAUACCUUUUUAAUCACUUAUUACUGUUCAUAUUUCAAAUAAUACCUUUUUAUUCACUUAUUACUAAUCACAUUUCAAAUAAUACCCUUUUAAUCACUUAUUACUGUUCAUAUUUCAAAUAACACCCUUUUAUUCUCUUAUUACUGUUCAUAUUUCAAAUAAUACCCUUUUAUUCCCUUAUUACUAUUCACAUUUCAAAUAAUACCCUUUUAGUCUCUUAUUACUGUUCACAUUUCAAAUAAUACCCUUUUGUUACUUAUUACUGUUCACAUUUCAAAUAAUACCCUUUUAUACACUUGGCUAAAAAUCCAAUAAAUUACCCUUUUACUCACUUAAUUAGUACUGUUCAUACUCGAAAUAUUACCCCUUUGUUCUUUAAUUAAUUAAUAUCCAUAUUUGAAGUAAUAUAAUUUUCACUUGUGUUUACUUUUCACUGUUCAUCAUGAACAGAAUGUUUGUUUGUUCAUCAAUAUUCGUAAUAUAGGUACCGACAAAAGGUCGGACAAACACAGUAACAUGUUAUUGGAUCCCCCUAACCUUCUAAAGGUGCGGGGCACCUUUGUCUUUACCAUCGGUAAAAGCCAAAGUCUUGU
rnacentral:rRNA from 2 species